AUUGAACGCUGGCGGCAUGCCUUACACAUGCAAGUCGAACGGUAACGGGCCUUCGGGUGCCGACGAGUGGCGAACGGGUGAGUAAUACAUCGGAACGUGCCCGAUCGUGGGGGAUAACGAGGCGAAAGCUUUGCUAAUACCGCAUACGAUCUACGGAUGAAAGCAGGGGACCGCAAGGCCUUGCGCGGACGGAGCGGCCGAUGGCAGAUUAGGUAGUUGGUGGGAUAAAAGCUUACCAAGCCGACGAUCUGUAGCUGGUCUGAGAGGAUGAUCAGCCACACUGGGACUGAGACACGGCUCAGACUCCUACGGGAGGCAGCAGUGGGGAAUUUUGGACAAUGGGCGCAAGCCUGAUCCAGCCAUGCCGCGUGCAGGAUGAAGGCCUUCGGGUUGUAAACUGCUUUUGUACGGAACGAAAAGCCUUCUUUUAAUACAGGAGGGUCAUGACGGUACCGUAAGAAUAAGCACCGGCUAACUACGUG
rnacentral:rRNA from 1 species